rnacentral:rRNA from 1 species
UACGGAGGGUGCGAGCGUUGUCCGGAAUCAUUGGGCGUAAAGCGCGUGUAGGCGGCUUGGCAAGUCAGUUGUGAAAGCCCGGGGCCCAACCCCGGAAUUGCAUCUGAAACUGCCUAGCUAGAGUCCCGGAGAGGAAGGCAGAAUUCCCGGUGUAGGGGUGAAAUCCGUAGAUAUCGGGAGGAAUACCAGCGGCGAAGGCGGCCUUCUGGACGGUGACUGACGCUGAGACGCGAAAGCGUGGGGAGCAAACAGG